UGCCCAGCAACUCCUAUCCCUACCUCCUCGCGGUACUGGCCGGGGUACGAGUAACCUUAGGGAAGAUCGGGUAACCAACCCCCGGUGGGAACUUUGGUCGUAUGCUGACAGGGAAGG
rfam:Aedes aegypti strain Liverpool supercont1.82 genomic scaffold, whole genome shotgun sequence.